AACGAACGCUGGCGGCAUGCCUAACACAUGCAAGUCGAACGAGAUCUUCGGGUCUAGUGGCGCACGGGUGCGUAACGCGUGGGAAUCUGCCCUUUGGUUCGGAAUAACCGAUGGACACGACUGCUAAUACCGGAUGAUGACGAAAGUCCAAAGAUUUAUCGCCAGAGGAUGAGCCCGCGUAGGAUUAGCGAGUUGGGGUGGGAAAGGCGCACCAAGGCGACGAUCCUUAGCUGGUCUGAGAGGAUGACCAGCCACACUGGGACGGAGACACGGCCCAGACUCCGACGGGAGGCAGCAGUGGGAAAUAUUGGAAAAUGGGGGAAAGCCUGAUUCAGCAAGGCCGCGUGAGUGUUGAAGGCCUUAGGGUUGUAAAGCUCUUUUACCGGGGAUGAUAAUGACAGUACCGGGAGAGUAAGCUCCGGCUAACUCCGUGCCAGCAGCCGCCGUAAUAC
rnacentral:rRNA from 1 species